UUAAAUUGAAGAGUUUGAUCAUGGCUCAGAUUGAACGCUGGCGGCAGGCCUAACACAUGCAAGUCGAGCGGUAGCACAGAGAGCUUGCUCUCGGGUGACGAGCGGCGGACGGGUGAGUAAUGUCUGGGAAACUGCCUGAUGGAGGGGGAUAACUACUGGAAACGGUAGCUAAUACCGCAUA
rnacentral:rRNA from 1 species